ensembl:lncRNA
UCCUGGGGACACCCGGACCAGCCCCGGGGAACCCAGACCAGCCCUGGGGACACCCGGACCAGCCCUGGGGACACCCGGACCAGCCCCCCAGGCCAGGGGCACCUCGGGGCUGUCAAAGUUUUUCCCAUUUCCCCCCCAAAACGGCCUGUGGGGAUUUCCCCCAUUUCCACUCCAGUGGGAUUUUGCUCCUGGGGGGUUUUCCCCAAUUUGGGGAAAUUCCAGUCGGGAAUUCCCGGGAAGAACCCGGUUGGCAGAGGCGUUCCCGGUAUUUCCAGCAGCUCCGGGACUCCACGGGACCCUCAGAGGGGUUGGAGGGCAGCAAUUCCCAAAAACGCAGCGCCGGGAAUUCCCUUCCCUGCGCUUUCCCAGUUUUUUAGGAAUAAAAACGACGCUGCCCAGUCCCUUUACCCGGGAAUUCUGUCCCUUUUCCCGGGAAUUCCGCCCUGAGGAUUUGGGGUCAUGGCACUGGGAAUUUGGGGUCACAGCAUUGGAAGAUUUGGGGUCACGGCACUGGGAAUUUGGGGUCACGGCACUGGGGGUUUGGGGUCACGGCACUGGGAAUUUGGGGUCACAGCCCUGAGGAUUUGGGGUCACGGCCCUGAGGAUUUGGGGUCAUGGCACUGGGGGGUUUGGGGUCAUGGCAUUGGAACAUUUGGUGUCUCAGCACUGCAGGAUUUGGGGUGGCAGCACUGGAGGAUUUGGGGUCACGGCACUGGGGGUUUGGGGUGGUGGCACUGGGGUAUUUUGGGGGCUGGCACUGAGGGAUUUGGGGUCACGGCACUGGGCAUUUGGGGUGGUGGCACUGGAGGAUUUGGGGUCAAGGAACUGGAACAUUUGGGGUCACGGCAUUGGGGGGGCUUUGGGGUCACGGCAUUGGGGAUUUGGGGGGGCAGCAGUGGGGAUUUGGGGUCCGUGUCCCCCCGAGCACGGACGCGCCGGGACAGCCCCGUGCCGCUGCCGGGGGAUCCGCUCGGGGGAUCCAGUCCAAAUCCAGUCCCAGUCCGGGCCCAGUCCAGUCCCAGUCCAAUCCCAGUCUGGUCCCAAUCCAAUCCCAGUCCAAUCCCAGUCCAGUCCCAAUCCAAUCCCAGUCCAAUCCGUUCCGUAAUCGAAGAGGAAUUAAACGCCCCAGAACUGGGUGGAGUGUGCCGGGCAAUUCCUCUUUUAUUUUCCUACUGAUUUUCCUUUAAAAAUAACCCCAAAACCCAAUAAACAAAUUUCCUUUGUGGAAAACUGAUGGAAAACGGAAGGAAUUUGGGUGAAGAAAGAAGAAAUUGGGGUGAAAAACGAGGAGUUUUGCAGUGAUUUAUUUUGGAGAAAUUAGGAAUUUUGGGGAAAGCAAAGGGAUUUUGUAUGAAGCGGGAGGAAUUUGACGUGGAUUAAGUGGAAAUGCGAUGAAAAUGGAGGGAAUUUGGGUUAGGAUUUGGAAUUUGGGGUGGAUUAGGUGGAAAUGCGAUGAAAAAAGAGGGAAUUUGGAUUAGGAUUUGGAAUUUGGGGUGGAUUAGGUGGAAAUUCGAUGAAAAAAGAAAGAAUUUGGGGUGGAAACGGGAGGAAUUUGGAGUUCCCGCUAAUGAAUCCGGGAGAAAAAGGGACUCUCCGUCUUAAUUAACAAAAUUAAUUUCACAACAUUUAGCGCGGAAAAGCGGCUGAGGGCAGCCCCAUAGGCCACGCCCAUUUAUGGAAAUGGGGCGUGGCUUUGCUAAGCCACGCCCAUCAUCACACGUGGGCGUGGCUUCAACCAC